rnacentral:rRNA from 1 species
UACGUAGGGGGCAAGCGUUGUCCGGAAUCAUUGGGCGUAAAGCGCGUGUAGGCGGCCCGGCAAGUCCGCUGUGAAAGUCGGGGGCUCAACCCUCGAAUGCCGGUGGAUACUGUCGGGCUAGAGUGCGGAAGAGGCGAGUGGAAUUCCUGGUGUAGCGGUGAAAUGCGCAGAUAUCAGGAGGAACACCAAUUGCGAAGGCAGCUCGCUGGGACGUGACUGACGCUGAGACGCGAAAGCGUGGGGAGCAAACAGG